GGUGAGGUCGCAUAGUGGCCUAGUGCGUUCGCUUGGAGAGCGAAUGUAGCGGCAACGUUACCGUGGGUUCGAAUCCCACCCUCACCG
rnacentral:tRNA from 1 species